GGAUCGGUAGUUCAGUUGGUUAGAAUGCCGCCCUGUCACGGCGGAGGUCGCGGGUUCGAGUCCCGUCCGGUCCGCUA
rnacentral:tRNA from 2 species